UAGUUUUUUCUUGCCCACUGGAAUUCUGCACUGUGUUGCAGAGUCGGGGGUGGGGGAGUGUGGAAUCAUUCCCUUACUAUCUGCUGCUCUGUCAACUGAAAUUGAUCAAAGCUAUAACAAAAACAUUUCUAGAAAUCAUUUGAAUGCGGUAGGAAAAACUCUGGGAAUGGAGUCAGAAGAAGGUAUAUUUUGGAGUGUGUUUUCAGGUCUAAACUUCUUUGCCAGAAAUGUUCCUUAAUGGAAUCUCCAGACUGAGUAGGAAAACAGGGCAUACUAUUUUUUGAAAGGAAUGAGCAGGAAUGAAAUAAAUGCAGUCCAAAGGGAAUGCAAAACAUGCACUUUGAGGAUACUUUGCUUUAGGAUAAACCCUCCAAAGGUAAACCUUUCAGCAAGAGUGUUACCUAAGUGCAUGGACUGCAGGUUUGUAUUACUGAAAACUGGGAGUGGCCGUUGCAGAUGCACUGGUUUCUUAGAGGCAGGUCAUGGAGGUUCAAAUGAGGAGGCCUUGCCUGGCCCCAGGAAGCACCCAGGUGCCUCCUCCCUCCAUUUCCCCAUCUCCAGUGGGGCGCUCCCAGGGCAGGCUCCAGGCCUGCCCCGUGCGCCUGCGCAGGAGACUUGGGGCAGGCGGGGUUCCAGCGCGCCGCGGGCGCUCUCAACCGCUCUGAGGGUCUGUUGCUGGCGGUUCAUGGCGGGGAGAGGAGCAGCGCGAGAGCAAAGGGCGGUUACCAACGGCCUUCGCUCUCAUGGCGUCCUUCUUGGUGUUACCUAAAAAUAAAACCAAGUGUGAUCAGAAGGGUAGCACAAUCUUUGGAAUGGGGGUCUUAAGAUGUUCAGUCAACCAAGCAAAACCACAUUCCUGCUGCUGUCAGUUGUGAUGCACGGAGAAAACUUCAGAGACCUAAACUUUUUCCAGAGAAGAGAGGCUUUACUGGUGGUUCCAGUCCUAAGAUGAGACCAGCUUAUGCAUCCUGGUUUAUAUUUUAUUUUGUCGCCUUUAUUCUCUUUCUCUUUAUUUUUCUUUUCUUCUUUCUUACAUUUUAUUUCUGUUUGGAAAAGACCAUGUACAAACAGAGUAAUAUGUAGAUCCAUGCCUAUCCAUCUUAGUAUAAUCAUGUAUUCAUUGUACUUUGUUGUAUACAUUUGGUACAUAUUCUAUAUAUGGACAUAUGCUAUGUAUCAUAAUAUACAUAACCAUUUCUCUGUUGGUGGGCUGUUACAGUAUUUUUAAUUUCAGAUAACAGCAAAAAUGAUCCUUCAGUUGCUAUCAUCAAUAUUUAUUUGUACAUAUCAAUGAUCAUUUUAGAGGAUUAGAAACUUGGAAGAAGAAUUUUUAGGGAAACCAUAUAUAGUUAAAAUGUGUAUCUACUUUUCACAUUUCAUAGAUAAAGAGCAUCCCGAUUUUUUUCUCCACUAACAACACAAGAUGACUGGAGAAAAAUAAAUCACCAAAUAUCAUAAAGAUACUUGCGUGUUUUAUAAGUGAUUAAUAACUACUUUCUCAUAACAGUAAAAACUAUUUUGUUUUGCAUGAGAGGAUUUUUCACUCUAUCUUUUAAAAAAAUCAUUACAUACAAAUAUAUCACAUCAAACCUAAAAGCCAUUGCUAGCACACUGGUUCCUGUCUUAAGUAUGAGACAAAAGGCCUUUAUCUUCCAGAAAGUUGUUUAUAACAUGCCAAAUAUGUGAACACCCAAUAGUCAAAGGAGAUUAUCUCUGUGAUACAAUUUUGAAAGUUGGUAAAAUAAUUUUUAUCAAUUUCAUCCUACAAGCACCCAAUUUAAACCAUUCUUUUAAAGUGGAUUUUAGAAGAUUGGAAUAGGAAGUUUUAGAAGUCAAUCCCUCCACAAAAACUGCCCUUAAACUGCAAAAAAUAAGAAUUAACCUUUUUGUAACUCUGGAUCCUAAUCAGAUAAAUAACAACCAUUAGUAGAGUGCUUGAUGCUAUUGGUCUUUAGUAAGAAAAUGGCUGCAUGCACACGCCAGAUACCAUCACUCCUUCUUAUUCACAAGAGUCAAAAAGUGAAAACAAACCUGUAUGUGUGGAUAAGCAAAAUGUGGUAUGUACAUACAAGGGAAUAUUAUUUAGCCAUAAAAAGGGAAUGAUGUUCUGAUGCAUGUUUACAACAUGGAUAAACCUUGAAAACAUUAUGCUAAAUAAAAUAAGCCAGACACAAAAGGACAAAUAGUAUAUGAUUCGACUUAUAUGAAAGAUCAUGAAUAGUAAAAUUCAUGUAGAGGGGAUUCAGAUUGCAUGUUUCCAGAGCAUGGAGGCUGGGGCAAGGGGAAUGGAGAAUUAUUGCUUAAUGGUACAGAACCUCUGUUUGAUGUGAUACAAAAGUUAUGAAAACUGUUAAUUAUACAACAUUGUGAAUGUAUCCAAUAUCACUGAGUUUUAGAAUUGAAAAUGAUCAAAUGGUACCUUUUAUGUUAUGUAUAUUUACCACUGGGUAAUAAAAUUGUAUUAAAGUAGGUGAGGCAAUUUUAACAGUUGUACCACUCUGCAGGAGGAUAUUGAUAAUGAAGGAGGCCAUGCAUGUGG